GGACUACUAGGGUUUCUAAUCCUGUUUGCUCCCCACGCUUUCGCGUCUCAGCGUCAGUCACGUCCCAGCGAGCUGCCUUCGCCAUUGGUGUUCCUCCUGAUAUCUGCGCAUUUCACCGCUACACCAGGAAUUCCACUCGCCCCUUCCGGACUCUAGCCUCGCAGUAUCCACCGGCAUUCCAGGGUUGAGCCCUGGACUUUCACAGCGGACUAACGAGGCCGCCUACACGCUCUUUACGCCCAAUAAUUCCGGACAACGCUUGCACCCUACGUAUUACCGCGGCUGCUGGCAC
rnacentral:rRNA from 1 species